CUGGCGUAAUGGGUGAAUGCAUCUGGCUGUUAACCAGAUGGUUAGUGGUUUGAGCCAACUCUAUGA